rnacentral:rRNA from 1 species
AGUGAACGCUGGCGGUAGGCCUAACACAUGCAAGUCGAACGGCAGCACAGUAAGAGCUUGCUCUUACGGGUGGCGAGUGGCGGACGGGUGAGGAAUACAUCGGAAUCUACUUUUUCGUGGGGGAUAACGGAGGGAAACUUACGCUAAUACCGAAUACGACCUACGGGUGAAAGCAGGGGAUAUUCGGACCUUUCGCGAGUGAAUGAGCCGAUGUCGGAUUAACUAGUUGGCGGGGUAAAGGCCCACCCAGGCGACGAUCCGUAGCUGGUCUGAGAGGAUGGUCGGCCACACUGGAACUGAGACACGGUCCAGACUCCUACGGGAGGCAGCAGUGGGGAAUAUUGGACAAUGGGCGCAAGCCUGAUCCAGCCAUACCGCGUGGGUGAAGAAGGCCUUCGGGUUGUAAAGCCCUUUUGUUGGGAAAGAAAAGCAGCAGGUUAAUACCCCGCUGUUCUGACGUUACCCAAAGAAUAAGCACCGGCUAACUUCGUG